GUCGACACCCAUGAGACACUUAGGCUAUGAGUUUGCCGCAUUUCUUAAAGUUUCAGACUUCCUAGAAUCUAAACAAUCGGACUCUGGCGGUGUUGGAAUGGCUUCUAGCUUUGAAGUUGGCGAGUAAAAUCGUUGGGACAGCCAUUCCUGGUGCGGGAGUUUCUAAGGAUUCUAAUGAUGCCAGAAGGAGAAUCUGGUGAAUCUAGCAGACCGAGAACCCUUAUUUAUAGGUCUGGAUUCAUAGUCUUUGAGGAAGGAAAUGGACCAUUGAAUGAGGGAUAGUGGGAGGCGUGGGUCGGUGGUGUUAAAAGCUAGCCUAAAUGAGUAUUUUUUAAUGCAACAAACGACAGUUACGCCUUGGCGUCAUCGGAGCGAGAGGAUGGAACAUCGAUCGACAAUGCAGAGUCAGAUUUGUCGAGAAACAUACUUCUUGUUCUUCAGAAGGGACGGCUUCGGUUUAGUAGAAUAGAAUAGUACACGACGCGAGUGGAGAUAAACAAAGAGAUUCUUCAUCUCGAUUUCAUUCAGCAAAAUCCCUCAAAACACCAUUGAAGGUGUGUGAGAACGCUUCAGAUUUUUCUUAGAGAUGCUUAUUCGAAGAACACGAACCCUAGCGGCGUAAAGAGAUGAAGACAAAAGGCCUGAUUGAUUUUGGGCUGUAAUUAUAAAAAUCAUCAGAAAGUCCAAAGUUUUUUCGCCUAAAGUUAAAUGAAACGCAGAGUUUCGGUAAAAGGAACAGGUGUCGCACUGUGGACAUCCGACUUAAUGACGUGGCUUCACGUGAGAGAAGCAAACAUUACUUUAUAUAAUUAGAUAUUGAUUAUUAUGAUAAAAAUUGCUAUUUCAAAAACAUACAUAUUGAAAGUUUAAAUAUUGAUUUACUAAAACAUACAUGGGAAUAGUAAAAUUAAGCUCAUCAAUGAUCAAAACCAUUUUUAGUUAUCGAAUCUAACUCUAUUAAAAGCCAAAUAUGAAACCUUCUUAGGUGUGCCACAUGGGAUCAGAAAUUCGACCAGUAAUAUUGCAGCAAUGAGACAUGUUAUAUGUCUUGAUUUGGGCUUUUAAAUUGAUUUUGGGCUUCUUAUUGAACCCAACUUUAAUUGAGUUAAGUUGCUUAGGGCUUCUUUUAUCUUUCUCGAUCCUCCUCUCCUCCAGACACGGGAAACGCCAAUCUCUUCUUACCUUUCGACUUCCAGAUCUUCUCUUCCUCUCCUCUCUGAAUCCGUUUCAACUCUUACUUUCACCUUUAACUCCUCUAACCAAACCUUGCUUGAUCCCAUUCAAUGGCUUCUUUUCAUCUUCCUCUCCAUUCUCCUGACUAUAAAUUUAUUCUCUUCGUUUAUGGGUCGAUUAAAAUCUCAGACAGACUUCACGAUGGAACCCAAAAACUCUUCGAUUUCCAGCGACGGCGAGCCCAACAAGACGACUGCCGCCUCCCCGCGCAUGCAAGGCCAAACCGGAAGUCCACCGCUUCCUCUGCCAUGGUGAUGAAACCUAACGGGAAAUCUGCUGUUUCAUCUGCCAUUUUGAAGAAACCAAACGCUUAUACCGCUCUCUCCUCCGCGCAUGGCGGUCAAGUGAUGUUCUUCAGAGAUGUUUCACUCGGCCCAACUGAAGCCGAUUUGAGGUUUCGACUGAUUCAUUUAUGGGAGGCGCGAAAUCCAAACACGAAAACCCUCAUUGGACAGGAGAUGAUCCGUAUCGACGAAGAGGUUCGUCUACGAAUCUUCUACUACUCUUUCUCCUUCUUUAAUAUUGCUCGAUAAGGAUCCAAGAAUUUUUUCGGCUCCAGGAAGAAAGCUCAGUAUCGGGUUACGGAUCAUAGCGCCACCGUUACAUUCGCUUGGAAUUUUGACUUAUCGGUUCUUGAUAACCCUCCGGUUCCAAUUCACGAAGAAAGGUUCAGAUUCCAUAGCUACGAGGAGUUUCAGGCCAACUGUGACUGCAAAGUUGAUCUUUAUGUUGGUGAAUGGGCAGACUAUCACUGAGCAUAUGGUCCUCGACGAAGUUGACAUAGCAGAGAGGCGACAUCUAUGUGUUCAUGUUCAGACACAUGACGGACCGGUGAUGAAGCUUUAUCUAUGGGACAAGGCCGCAUCUGACUUCUGCGAGAAAUUCAAAUCUUAUGGAAGCACUCCAAGCGUUCUGUUGGUCACCACAAUAAACCCUAAACAUCUUGGAGGUUAGCAUUUCACUAAACAACCGGAUUAAGUCACUGUAUUAUUGAGAUUAGAUGAGACAUUAGUGUAUC